ACGGGGUGCAGCAGGCGCGAAACCUCUACAAUGCACGAAAGUGUGAUAGGGGGAUUCCACGUGCAAGCUUUGCUUGCUUUUCUCAAGUCUAAACCGCUUGGGGAAUAAGGGCUGGGCAAGACCCGUGCCAGCCGCCGCGGUAACACGGGCAGCUCAAGUGGCGUUCGCGUAUAUUGGGCCUAAAGCGUGCGUAGCCUGUCAGGUAAGUUCUUGGUGAAAGCUUGCGACUCAAUCGUGAGAAUUGCCAGGAAAACUGCCCGACUUGGGACCGGAAGAGGUCGGAGGUAUUUCUUGGGUAGGGGUAAAAUCCUGUAAUCCUUGAAGGACCAUCGGUGGCGAAGGCGUCCGACUGGGACGGGUCCGACAGUGAGGCACGAAAGCUAGGGGAGCGACCCGGAUUAGAUACCCGGUUAGUCCUAGCCGUAAAUGAUGUCUGUUUGGUAUUGCGUGGCCUACGAGGCCCCGCAGAGCCGUAGGGAAGCCGUUAAACAGACCGCCUGGGAGUACGCCGCAAGGC
rnacentral:rRNA from 1 species